rnacentral:rRNA from 1 species
UUUCGCUACUUUUAAGUAUGGAGCAAUCUCAAUGAUUCUUCCGUGGCGACACUUAUGGAAGCCUUUGCAGCCCCGCAAGGGGUGGGGAGCACGACUGUAAAUAAGUCUCCCUUCAUGCAAGUCAGCACCCGCUGGCAACACGAUCGAAUUGACGGGGACGUCCUAAAGCCUACAACACCAACCCGCCCGGGAAACCGAGGCGGGGGCCCGUGCUAACUCCACGGGGUGGUAAAAGAGUGUAUGGAUACUCCCUCUGGGGAACUAUGGAUAAUCCGCAGCGAAGACCCUAAGUAGCGCUAGCUAUACGGGUAACGUUCACAGACUAAGUGGUUGUGGGUGGAGCCUAGCUCUGCUUAAGAUAUAGUCGGGCCCUACGUGAAAGCGCAGGGGUGAGUCGCUACGAACUCGAAACCGUUCCGUAGGUGAACCUGCGGAAGGAUCAUUACAGUAGUCGCCCGGGUUGCCGCAAGGCCUCCCGGGUAACCUACCACCCUUUGUUUAUUACACUUUGUUGCUUUGGCAGGCCUGCCCUCGGGCUGCUGGCUCCGGCCGGCGAGCGCUUGCCAGAGGACUAAACUCUGUUUGUCUAUACUGUCUGAGUACUAUAUAAUAGUUAAAACUUUCAACAACGGAUCUCUUGGUUCUGGCAUCGAUGAAGAACGCAGCGAAAUGCGAUAAGUAAUGUGAAUUGCAGAAUUCAGUGAAUCAUCGAAUCUUUGAACGCACAUUGCGCCCCCUGGUAUUCCGGGGGGCAUGCCUGUCCGAGCGUCAUUACAACCCUCAAGCUCAGCUUGGUAUUGGGCCCCGCCGACCCGGCGGGCCCUAAAGUCAGUGGCGGUGCCGUCCGGCUCCGAGCGUAGUAAUUCUUCUCGCUCCGGAGGUCCGGUCGUGUGCUUGCCAGCAACCCCCAAUUUUUUCAGGUUGACCUCGGAUCAGGUAGGGAUACCCGCUGAACUUAA